rnacentral:tRNA from 1 species
AGCCCUGUAGUACAGCGGUCAAGUAUGCUAGACUCUGGAUCUGGUGACCCAGGUUCGAAUCCUGGCAGGGCUA